rnacentral:rRNA from 1 species
AGAGUUUGAUCCUGGCUCAGGAUGAACGCUGGCGGCGUGCUUAACACAUGCAAGUCGAACGAACCUUCGGGUUAGUGGCGGACGGGUGAGUAACGCGUGGGAAUCUGCCCUCAGGAGGGGGAUAACGGCUGGAAACGGCCGCUAAUACCCCAUAUGCCGAGAGGUGAAAAGAAAUUCGCCUAAGGAUGAGCCCGCGUCUGAUUAGCUAGUUGGUGGGGUAAGAGCUCUCCAAGGCGACGAUCAGUAGCUGGUCUGAGAGGAUGAUCAGCCACACUGGGACUGAGACACGGCCCAGACUCCUACGGGAGGCAGCAGUGGGGAAUUUUCCGCAAUGGGCGAAAGCCUGACGGAGCAACGCCGCGUGAGGGAUGAAGGCCUCUGGGCUGUAAACCACUUUUCUCAAGGAAGAAGACAUGACGGUACUUGAGGAAUAAGCCACGGCUAAUUCCGUGCCAGCAGCCGCGGUAAUACGGGAGUGGCAAGCGUUAUCCGGAACUAUUGGGCGUAAAGCGUCCGCAGGCGGCCCUGUAAGUCUGUCGUUAAAGCGUGGAGCUUAACUCCAUUUAAGCGAUGGAAACUACAGGGCUUGAGUGUGGUAGGGGCAGAGGGAAUUCCCGGUGUAGCGGUGAAAUGCGUAGAUAUCGGGAAGAACACCAGUGGCGAAGGCGCUCUGCUGGGCCAUAACUGACGCUCAUGGACGAAAGCCAGGGGAGCGAAAGGGAUUAGAUACCCCUGUAGUCCUGGCCGUAAACGAUGAACACUAGGUGUCGGGGGAAUCGACCCCCUCGGUGUCGUAGCCAACGCGUUAAGUGUUCCGCCUGGGGAGUACGCACGCAAGUGUGAAACUCAAAGGAAUUGACGGGGGCCCGCACAAGCGGUGGAGUAUGUGGUUUAAUUCGAUGCAACGCGAAGAACCUUACCAGGGUUUGACAUCCUGCGAAUCCCUUGGAAACGAGGGAGUGCCUUCGGGAGCGCAGAGACAGGUGGUGCAUGGCUGUCGUCAGCUCGUGUCGUGAGAUGUUGGGUUAAGUCCCGCAACGAGCGCAACCCACGUCUUUAGUUGCCAGCAUUCAGUUGGGCACUCUAGAGAGACCGCCGGUGAUAAACCGGAGGAAGGUGUGGAUGACGUCAAGUCAUCAUGCCCCUUACAUCCUGGGCUACACACGUACUACAAUGCUACGGACAAAGGGCAGCAAGCUCGCGAGAGUUAGCAAAUCCCAUAAACCGUGGCUCAGUUCAGAUCGUAGGCUGCAACUCGCCUACGUGAAGGAGGAAUCGCUAGUAAUCGCAGGUCAGCAUACUGCGGUGAAUACGUUCCCGGGCCUUGUACACACCGCCCGUCACACCAUGGAAGUUGGCCAUGCCCGAAGUCGUUACUCCAACCCU